GCUGGGUCUUGAGAUCAGUGAGAGAAGAUUUCACAAGCUCCUCGUCAACCACUGUGGGCAAAGGGGCUUUGAGCCUCGGCGGCCCUACAGGUCGCUGGCUUUGACUUCUUCUGAUGCUGCUCUUGUCUUUACUCUUCUUAUUGCUGUUGGAGCCUCCUACAAAACAAAAGCGGGAACAUCAGAAAUAAACAUUAAAGCCGUGGCAAUGUGCCCAUGUGUGAGUAGUCCUCAGAAGAGCGGACGUAGCUGGAGGUGCGAGGACGCAUGGCAUCCAUGUCAUCCAUGGUUGUCUCCAAAACUGGAGCAAGGGUCGCCGCUGUGAUGGCACCACAAUCCGUCCCAUUUUCAGGCUUAAUUCCUGAUCCAGACUUUGAUGAGGACUUGGAGUCUGAUUUCUCAGUGGAGUGGCGAAAAGUGAGGUUGGUGAGGCUACCAAACCACUUGAAACCUUGAGGGCGGAACAGUAAGAAAAGAAGACAAGCUUAGAGUGUGGUAACUAUCACAAGUUUGAUGGAGAUAAAGAAGUUAAAGAAGCUGGUCUGAUUAAAGCUGUACAAUAUUUAUUUUUGAAUUGAUAUUAGAUCAAAUUACUAUUGUGGUGUAUUAAAUCUGUUCAUAUACAGUUAGUUACUCUCUGAGGUCAUAGAGAGUGCAGAGAGUGAUGUGGUACAACAGGGUGUUGUAUAACAAACCUCUGGAAUAUGUCAGAAGGCCUCCAGGGAUGAGUAAGAAAAAGACCAACGUAUAUCUCACCUUAUUUGGGUACGCGCAAGACAUGGUGUAACAUCACAUUUGGUCACACACCCACAUUUCUCCUAUAAAUUGCAUGCACAAAGAGAUUUCGGGGGGACUUCCACAAUUGGCUCUGGGAACCUCGUAUUGCCCGUGUUGGUGUAGCUGUUGUAAUAAACCUUAUUAUAUACAAGCUGGUGUCUUUCCGGAGACUUCUUCAUCAUCUUCACAAACAUCGCUACAAGAUAUACUUCACUAUCAUGAAAUGUGUGGCGCUGAACCAACAAAGUGUUAUCAACCAACUCCUCAGUCCAUCUCAUAUAUUUUGAAAUGUUCUUUGUGUAUUUCUAGAUUGUUGGGUUUCUCUCACAAAUUCUGCUCUUAAUUAUGCCGAAUUGCUUUUGCCAGUCUCCUGCACAGCAUUAAUGCUACAGUCGUGAAGAGUCAGCUGUGGAAACUACUGAAACGUCUUGUAAACUUAAACCAAUAUUUUUCAGCAGUUGUUACAGACUUAACCAGAUCUAAAAUUACAAAUGUAAGCUUGUAUGUUACAAAUGUUGUGUUCUUUUGUUUGUUCUGCUUCAAUGAGGUAGCCAACAGCAAUCAUUGCAGCUUCAAAUUCCUUUUUCUGAGCUUGUGUUUUGAUCUUGUUACCCAACGAAUGAGAUGUAGAAGCAAUCAACCACUUGCAGCUAUACUGUUUAUAAUUAAAAUCAUACUUUUGUAUAAA